CUUCCUGUUGUUUGUGUAUGAUGGUUCGACCUUAGCGUGUGACUGUUAUCACACUCGAAACGAAAUUUGUGUUCCCCUCUGCGACGCGUCGCUGUCACAUGUCGGAGUUGUGUCAAGUGCUAUCACGACCCACCCCAGCAUGAUGAAUGAUCAAAUCUCAUGGGGUCGAUGAUGGAAGCGGGUGCAUUCAUGUGACUUUUUCAGUGGUCUCACACUGGCAUACCGCUAGGAAGAACGACUUUUUCCUGGUGAGAAACGUACCGCUAGUGCCAACUUUUUCCUUCACACUUGAGGGGGAAUCAACACGACUUGUGCGCGCCUUGGAUCACACGGGAGGGAUAGUCCCGUAAAAUGUUUGACGAUUCCCUGCCGGGCUUCCUUGUACAGCGCUUUUACAUCAGUUUGCUCGUAGACACUCAAAGCAAUGCUAGCGUCGACCUCUAAGCACUAGCCACAUGUUGAUCAUCUGAAACCGAACCCGUAAGAACCCAAAAACCGCAAGCAGCAGUCCGCGAUACUGCUUUUCACCGGUGUGUUUGAGCGCAUUUCACAGCUACGUUCCCAGCGCGGUGUCCUGUCAGAGGGUUCACUGUGUCUGAUGUUUUCAUGCGUUUUUCGUAUCCAUGCGGAUCAAGGUGUCUUUUCCAGCAAUGUAGUCACUGUUUGAGUGCAUCGUUGAAGUUGAUGAGAAUCCCCCGCAGUAAUCGACCAUCAUACACGAACAACCUGGUUAAAC
rnacentral:lncRNA from 1 species